CACAUUUUCUUUGAAAUAUUCAAAAUAUAUUCAAGUUAUUUUCAAAACUGAAGUUCCAAAUGGCCAUUUGUCUUAUAAUGUUAUUUUCUAAUGAAAAUCUUGGCCAUGACAGUGAGUGGUAUUUUACUGAGGUGUAUGUGUGGUAUGUUCUAGUUGGUAUCACCUAAGUUCAGAAAAGGUGUUGAACACAUCUCUGAAUUUUGCCUGCCAUCUAAUGUAUAUAAAUCUGCUUUUAAUCCCCAAAAAGAAUAUUCAUACUUUGUUUUGUUAGAAAAUUAUCAAAAGUUGGUUGUAGAAAUUCUGUUUAUGAGAACUGUCUAAAACUUGCAAAUCAUCUAUUCCCUUAGACACUUAACUUUAUAUUUAAAUAAUGGACCGCUAAAGUUUGGAAUAGAAUUUUGUUUGCUAAACCAUCCCUUGGGGCUAUAUCUGUAUUAAAUUUGAGAAGGUUUAAUUUUUAGAAAAUCUAACAAGUUUUUACCAUAAGCAUGUUGUCAGAUUUUGCUUAUGAUAUCCCAGUGUCCUUUUUAUGAGGACCAGGAGAGAAGCUUCUUUGAGACUUCAUAUCACAAAUAGCUGGAAUUAACCUAAGAAACUAGUAUCUUUUUACUGUGGGACACUAUGGAACUUACAACUACACUUUUCGCUAUUGUUUGACUGCUAGAAAGAAAAAAGUCAAAUCUGCAAGCCAGUUCUGGCAAAAUUCUUAGAGCAGAUAUUUUUGAUACAAUUUUUACCUCCAACUUUGCUUUCCUCUGUCCUACCCCCAUUCAUCUUCCUCCCUUAUUCACCAUCAAGUUCAAAAUGUGUAUUUUUUGUCAGCUCUGCUAAUUCUGUCUGGAGUGAGCUGGGAGGUAAUUAACUAGUUAAUAAAUUAAUUAUUAGCUACAUUGAGCAACAUGCUUUUUUCUCCUCUUCAGUCCAGUGCUUGCUUUUAUUUACUCCUCUCAUCUAUUCAUGUCUUCUUGUAAUAUGGCUACAGCUUGCCCACCUGCUUCGGCGUGUCUGUCAGGACAAUCUGAUGGGAGUGACCAGUCCCACAAAGCCUGGAACUAGAAGCUGCUGGGCCCUUUCCCAAUGUGGUCACCAACUCAGUUAUCAGCCUUUCUUGAAAGAACAACAUUGAAAUAAAUCCUCAAGGAACAGAGAGAGCCA
rnacentral:lncRNA from 1 species